UGCACACCGAAGCACUGAGACAGGCAGCAGUGGAGCUGAGGCUGUUGGUGUCGCUUCCGGUCUCUUCCUCUUUACUUUUUUUUUGGUUUCUGUCAAGAUGGCUCUACCGCCAGCAUUGAUCACAACAGAGUCGACAGCGGGAAGGGUGCUUGGAGCGGCGCAUGCACCACCGUUGAAAUCGCUGAAUAGAAAAAUGACCGCGCACCGCUCAUCGCUGCUUCCGCGCCUCUCGGUCACGACUGCCUCCUCUCUGCGUCCUGCGCGAGUGAAGUCGACCACCGCUGCUGCUGCUACCACCGCACCCACCACGGUAGCCACGGUGGCGUCAGUGUCUCGGUCAGCAGACGCUGCUACAACGCACCCACUUCUCAGGCAACUGCUCCGCGUCUCUGUGCCUCCUGCGUCGGUAGAGCUGGCACAGCCACCGGAAGAAGUGACGUUAGCGGAAGCGGUGGAGGCGCUAGGAGGAUCGGACGCCGUAGAGGCGCUCCUUUCUCAGCUCAACGGUGUGGCGCACUCAGCCGAUGCGAACGAUGACGGUGCCUUCGCGAACGCCAUCGAGACAUGUGUUCAGCAAGCUCUUGGUGUCUCUGAAGUGUCGAUCGACGUCAUUGAAGAGCUCGAGACCGCCGUCACGGGCGAGGAGGGAGGAGAGAGUGGCACGCGAGCAAGUCCGCCCGUGAGCGUGACGAUUCCGCUUACCAUCUCGGACUUCCAUGCUGCAACCGUUACUCCGUUAGCCGCCCGCCAGCGUCGAAGUCGGGUAAGCAACGCAACGGCUGCAUCUGCCCCCAGACGCAACUACUCCUCGUGUCUGCUGCUUCGCGUCCAGCGUUGUAGAGGCGUCCUCGCGCUGCGCAUUGUGAAGGUGCGCUUUGAAGGCACCGGCGGCACGUCGCACCGCAGCCGCCGCGGUGUCGCGUUGGGCGCCGAAGGCCAAAAGAAAAGGCGUAAAGUCAGAGAGACGAAGCAGAGCCAGAGGCGCACUGCGCAUCGUCGACGCUGGCAACCCGCCUCUCGCAAAGAGCGAGCAUCAACGACCGGAGUCGAUGGCGUCGCAUCAUGCGGUCCGCCUUCGCCCAGCGACGCUGAAGGCGUCGUAGGAGGUACUGGUGUCGGCGAAGCCGAACCCUUCUCGAGCGGUUCGGCCGAAACGCUGCCUUGGUCGUCUCCAGGCGCUCUUGCGGGCGGGACAAGCCGUAGAGCAAGCGCCGCAUCGGCUACGCACAGCCAGCGGAAGCCGAAGGGCAAGGCAAAUCUGCGGCGAGGCAGCCGUAGGACGGCGGCUGUUCAUCACGCAGCCACCAAGAGCCGCACCGAUGCUGUCGUAUUUGACCCGUGCUUUCCCGAGGACACGACACCGUUCAACGCGCAGCACCGCCCCGUCACGUACAAUGCCGCCAUCGCCUUUCAAGCGCCGCUGUGAUAUGGAAGGAACGGAUCGGCGAUAUGGCCAUGUACGAGAGACAAGCGACGGGGGCCAUCUGACCACUACCCACUCCCUCCUCCCGGUCUGCUCUUCGUCUCAAGGUGCCUCUUGCGCACCCCCUUGAAACGGCGCACAAAGAAAAAGAGUCCCUUUCUAUACACUUGUUUUCACGCCUCACGCGAAACAAUAUCGAUGGAACUCGGCGCAGCAGCAGCAGCUACUCGUCUGUCUGUCUGUGUGUUUUUGUGUGCGUGCGUGCUUUCUCUUCCGAUUGAACACGGCCCUUUAGGCCUCUUUUUUUUUCUUCUCUCUCUUUCUUCGCCAGUCCUCUCUCACGGCGCCUACUUCACAUGCGUGCAGGCGUGCGCUUGCGACGAACAGUCGAGUACGUCUCGUGUUGUGAGAGAGGGAGAGUAGGCGGACGGAAUACUGGAAUGCACCAG
rnacentral:misc_RNA from 1 species